CAUCAAAGAUAAGCUAUACUUUUAUUACCCAUGUUAAAUAGUUGGACUCCCUGUGAUAUUAUUUUGGGUGGUUCUGUCCUUUUUUUUAUAUCAGGAAUUGGUAUUUAGUUUGUUUUUGGACACAGGUUCUUGAUCGUGUACCCCAGCGUUCGGUGUUCAUUGAUUCCGACAGGCGUUUUUAAAGAAAAUGAAAAAUGGCAGGAAACUCUUCACCAUUAGUUUCACAGGGUUGCUUGGUCAAGUUGUUCAAUGGUAUGGUCUUCCUAGACCCCUGUACAGACAAUACUACAAAGCCAAAAAAGACAAGUACAAGGUUGUUGUGAAGCUCACAAUGAACAAGGAAGAUUUACCAAUCAUAGUUUAUAGUAAACUACACAAAGACAUUGCACAAGCCUCUGAAGAUGCAGCAAAACAAGAAGUGAAAAUUAUUCAACAAACAUAUAAUUUCGAUGUAGACGAUAUUAACUAUGAAGUAUGCAUGCAACAAAGGAGAAAAAGACGUUUAACCGAGAUUAAGCUAGCCACGGAAGAGAUGAGCUUCAAUGAUCUUAAGCGAAGCUACUUUGAAGUUUGUGAUGAGAAUAGAAUUUUCCGACAACAUCUACAAAAUUUAGGGCAUUUAAAUAAGUAGAAAAAUAUCUACUAAGCCAAAGUAUAUUAGUUUUUUUGUUUGGUGCAAAAGUCAAACUAUAUUAGUUGGAUUGUUAUCUAUUUUAAAAAUUUGCCGA